AUGCAGCUAGGCUAUCAUUUUACUGGUUGAAAUUGCAGAAGAAAAAAAAAAAAGACUAUUGACCUGAUUACCUAAUUGAAUAUCUCUCACCAUUGCACUUUGCCAUUUGUUCUCAGGUCUGACUAAGCAUAGGCUAAAUCCUGUCAACAACACACAGGCCUAAAGUGAUACAGGUUUGGCCCAGGUCUUCCCCAGGUGAGGUGGUCCUUCCUGGGACUACAUGAGGACGUUGGCCCGAGUAUCAGGCAGCCGGAGCCCCACCAGACCUCCACACACCAGCACAGAUGAGGCCAGGAGGAUGGGGAUGGCCUUGGUGAUGCCAACCAGCGAACCAAAGAUCACGUUCCCCAACACGGCAGCUAACUUACACAGAGCAUUACAGAACCCAAAACCUGUCCCUCUGAGAGAGAAAGAUAGAGAGAGAGACAGAAACAAAUUACAAAUGCAAUUUAGGGAUUUAAAGGGUUUUGGAAGGACUCUGUGGUGACCACGUCCAGUGAGUUCCAGGCUGAUAUGCUCAGGCCGUUGUAAAGGCACAGCAUGAAGAUCAUCAUCGACUCACUGGUGCCGAACCACAGGAAGAAACAACUGAUCCCUGACAAAACCAUGGAGCCACCUGUCCCACACACACACACACACACACACACACACACACACACACACA